rnacentral:lncRNA from 10 species
AAAGAAAGAGCAAGCCCCAUAAUGGCAGCAUCUUUAUCUUGCACACUAGUCUGUCUCUUGUGCCUGUAACAAUGCCAGGAACUUUAGUAACUAUUUUUUUUUGAAUUUUGACAAUCUUGGUCGACAAGGGUAAAAAAGGACAUUCCAGAAGCAGAAAAACAUGAGCAAAAGUAUGGAGACAUCAAAGGUCAUGGCAUAUGUUCGUUUAUCAUGGCUGGAAUGAGGGGUAUGAGGAAGAUGACUGAGAGUGUGUACUUUGGAGUCAGUCAGAGCAGAGUUGACUUCAUUUUAUGCUACCUUUAUGAUUAAGAAUGUCUUCCAAGCAAGCCACCUCUCCAUUUGCCUGUGCAGCUGAUGGAGAGGAUGCAAUGACCCAGGAUUUAACCUCAAGGGAAAAGGAAGAGGGCAGUGAUCAACAUGUGGCCUCCCAUCUGCCUCUGCACCCCAUAAUGCACAACAAACCUCACUCUGAGGAGCUACCAACACUUGUCAGUACCAUUCAACAAGAUGCUGACUGGGACAGCGUUCUGUCAUCUCAGCAAAGAAUGG